GUGAGGAAUAUUGGUCAAUGGGCGAGAGCCUGAACCAGCCAAGUCGCGUGAAGGAAGAAGGAUCUAUGGUUCGUAAACUUCUUUUGCAGGGGAAUAAAGUGCGGGACGUGUCCUGUUUUGUAUGUACCCUGAGAAUAAGGAUCGGCUAACUCCGUGCCAGCAGCCGCGGUAAUACGGAGGAUCCGAGCGUUAUCCGGAUUUAUUGGGUUUAAAGGGUGCGUAGGUGGUUUGAUAAGUCAGCGGUGAAAGUUUGCAGCUUAACUGUAAAAAUGCCGUUGAAACUGUCGGACUUGAGUGUAAAUGAGGUAGGCGGAAUGCGUGGUGUAGCGGUGAAAUGCAUAGAUAUCACGCAGAAUUCCGAUUGCGAAGGCAGCUUACUAAGCUACAACUGACACUGAAGCACGAAAGCGUGGGGAUCAAACAGGAUUAGAAACCCUUGUAGUCC
rnacentral:rRNA from 1 species